rnacentral:rRNA from 1 species
CAGUCGCCGCGGGAAUACGUAGGUCCCGAGCGUUGUCCGGAUUUAUUGGGCGUAAAGCGAGCGCAGGCGGUUAGAUAAGUCUGAUGUGAAAGCCCCCGGCUCAACCGGGGAGGGUCAUUGGAAACUGGGAAACUUGAGUGCAGAAGAGGAGAGUGGAAUUCCACGUGUAGCGGUGAAAUGCGUAGAGAUGUGGAGAAACACCAGUGGCGAAGGCGACUCUCUGGUCUGUAACUGACGCUGAGGAGCGAAAGCGUGGGGAGCGAACAGGAUUAGAUACCCCAGUAGUCCCUGUCUCUUAUAC